AAUUAAUGAGAACUCCUCUAUUCCGUGGACGUAGCCAAUCUGGGUGAACCACGUACAUCUUGUGUUUGCUUUCCUAUCUCUAUCCAUUUAUAUACUUAUCCACACUAAUGACCGGAGCAAUCUAGCGAAGAUCACAAAAAGUGACCGUUUUCGCUACCUAGGAUCUAUCUUGCAAGAAAACGGAGAAUUAGAUGGAGAUCUCAACCAUAGAAUACAAGCUGGAUGGAUGAAGUGUAAGAGUGCAUCCGGCGUGUUGUGUGACC
rnacentral:lncRNA from 1 species